GAUCAGAAUGAAGGUUUUCCUGUAUCUUGCUUUAUUGUUUUGUAUUUUGGGAACUGCCCAAGUUGAAGCACGUGGCCUUGCUGGAGCGCCUGAUGUGGCCCCAGUUCGCAUUGUUAGAUCUGCUGCAGGUUCUUUAGUAAAGAGUCACUGUUGUGAUUACUAUUGCAACCCACGUGUUUGGUGUUCUUGCUGUAUCGCAUGAUGCCUUUGAAUAUCAAAAAUACACGUAUUUUUAUGCAUUUGACCUGUGUUUAAUAAAGAAUGAAAAGUUUGA